GCUGAACCGCCACGGAUCGCAGCUAAUGAGCAUGCAGCUGGGUUGCAAAUUGGCAGAUUUAUAGCUUCAGUAUAAAAACUAAAGACAGACCAGUGGCUGACUGGAGUUUCAGAACUGAUACCACCCUGUGACUGAAUAAAUGCAGGGGAAUUAAGGCCGAUUUUCCCUCCCCCCGACUUUUACCCCCAUUAAGAAAUGCAGAGGUUGGCUGUGGUUCAACUUUUUUUUUUUUCUCUCUCUCACCAGUGCAUGACCUUCUUGGAUACAGACAAGUAAAAUUCACGGGAACAGGAGUCUGUGACGAUCUGAAGUACUGUAAGUCAGAUUCCUCUGUUGCAUGGCAUUUUCCAUGUGUGGCAGUGUCAGAGGUUAAGGAAUGGAGUGGGAUCAGGGAUGAAGCUCUGCUCAGAACGUGUGAUGUACAGUAGUGUCUCAUCCUGGGCUAUUGUGAACACUUCUGUUUGCAGGGAUGUCACCUCAUUCAAGCCAUUCAUUUGCUUUUCAGAUGCUAGCAAAAGAAGAGGUGUUUUUUUUACAUAACAGAAACAAAGCAGCUAGAAGAAGAGAAUGAACCAUCUGGAAGCUGAAGCUGGAGAUGGAGCUCAUGCAGGAGUGACUGAUAAUGGCCCCAGAUGCCCCCACACCGGGCCAGUGCUCUCACAGAUCACACCGUUAUCAAGUGCAUAUCUGCAGUUGUUUCACUGGUGUGGAAAAGCCUUUCUUUUGCUGUUAAAAUAACUGGUUGUUUCAGGA